rnacentral:rRNA from 1 species
AUUGAACGCUGGCGGCAGGCCUAACACAUGCAAGUCGAGCGGAGCGGCGGACGGGUAAGUAAUACCUAGGAAUCUGCCUGAUAGUGGGGGAUAGCGUUCGGCAGCGGACGCUAAUACCGCAUACUAUCAGAUUAGCCUAGGUCGGUUUAGCUAGUUGGUGAGUUAAUGGCUCACCAAGGCUACGAUCCGUAACUGGUCUGAGAGGAGGAUCAGUCACACUGGAACGGAGAAACGGUCCAGAUUCCUACGGGGGGCAGCAGGGGGGAAUAUUGGAAAAGGGGCGAAAGCCGGAGCCAGCCAUGCGGCGUGUGUGAAGAAGGUCUUCGGAUUGUAAAGCACUUUAAGUUGGGAGGCGUUACCGAAAGAAUAAGCACCGGCUAACUCUGUGCCAGCAGCCGCGGUAAUAC